rnacentral:lncRNA from 1 species
GGAGAGCAAUCUUGGCGUGAGCUGAACCCACGAGGAGCACGUGUCUCAAGAAUUGGUCACCUGAAUCCAGGUCUGCAGUGCUUAUGAAGACUGCGUGUCUCGGUGGCGCAAUGGAGAAGGACGCCGUCUGCUGUUUAAAAAUCCUCAACCAAGAUCUGGCGACCUGGGUUCAAGUCCUGGGGACUUCAACUGAGAAAUCAACGCUUCCAACUUCAUCAGACGAAACAGUAACGUCUGAACAAUUGGCUUAUCGAACAACGGUUCAAACUUCAACAGCAGAUCCAUUGACUUCUGCAUCCAUAGUUCUGACUUCAACAGAUGAACCAUUGACCUCUGCAUCAACAGUUCAGACUUCAACAGAUGAAACAGUUACUUCUGAACCACUGACUUCUCAAACUACUGUUCAAACUUCAACAUCAGAGCCAUCGACUUCUGCAAUCACAGUUCUGACUUCAACAUCAGAGCUAUCGACUUCUGCAUCCACUAUUCUGACUUCAACAGCAGAUGCAUCGACUUCUGCAUCCACAUUUAUGACCUCAACGAAUGGACAUUUGAUUUCUGCAUCCACAGUUCUGACUUCAACAGAUGGAACAGUGAUUUCGGACCCACUAACUUCUCAAACUAUGGUUCAAACUUCAACAGCAGAGCCAUCAACUUCUGCAUCCAUAGUUCUGACUGAAAAGGAUGUACCAAUGACUUCUGCAUCAACAGAUGGAACAGUGACUUCUGCCUCCAGUUUUUCUUUCAUGAUGACCAAUAAAAAACGACAGCAUCACCCCUUGUGA